GAAAUGCGAUAAGUAAUGUGAAUUGCAGAAUUCAGUGAAUCAUCGAAUCUUUGAACGCACAUUGCGCUCUCUGAUAUUCCGGGGGGCAUGUCUGUCCGAGCGUCAUUACUGCCCUCAAGCGCGACUUGUGUGUUGGGCCCUCGCCCCCCCCGGGGGCGUGCCCGAAAGGCAGUGACGGCGCCGUGCCCGGUCCUCGAGCGUAUGGGGCUCUGUCACCCGCUCUGAAGGCCCGGCCGGCCGCCGCCGACCUCGCAGACCUUAACCACCGGUUGACCUCGGAUCAGGCAGGGAUACCCGCUGAACUUAA
rnacentral:misc_RNA from 1 species